GGAGACCAGAAAGCAAUGUCAUAAAUCCGUAUAUAAACUUGAAAAGGGCGACACAAAAUUAGGAAAUCAAAAUAACCCUCUUUUGCCCAAAAAAUACCCAGUGCGCAGAGCUUCCAUCAUUAUGGGUCGCGGUCAUGGUCAUGGUCAUGGUCAUGGUCGUGGUCGCCGUUCACGUUCACGUUCACGUUCAGGUUCAGGAGGAGGAUCGCAUUCCAGAAAAUCAAGUGCAGCUGGUCCUCGAUUGAGUCCUUGCGAGCAACAAGAGGAUCUUGUCCAGGGUUAUCCUGGCGCUACUGCUAUCGUUGCUCGUCCAAAUUCACAUGGGUCACACGGAUCUGGGUCUGGGCGCGGGUCUCUUGGUGAUGAGUAUCCGUAUGAGGACUGCCAAAGAUUUCUCGAUUACCUUUAUGAUGCAACACGUUUGUGUGGGAGCGAUUGUACCAGUGCUGUAGCAACUCGCAGUUACGUAGAGCUCUUUUGUGGUAUUAAGGUGUUACCUGAUGAGUUAGAGAAGAAGGAAGGCCACUGAUGCAGCAGCUGCAGAUCAUCCUUGAACAAGAUCCAUGACAAUGGCAGACAAUUAGAUAAAUGACUUAACCUAUGAACUUACUGGUGUAGGCUCUUUCAUUUUAGGUGAUGUUUGUAAUGUUCAGACGUUUACCUGCAAUGUAUUAUAUAUAUAUAUAUCGUGUGUGAACUUUCAACUCCGAAUAUCUCUGUACUAGUUUUAAAACGCCAGCUUCUUAUCCAGGUCCAUAUGAUGUAGUUUGAGGUGAAUUUGGUUAUGCCAUACUCCUGAAAAUUGCCAUAUGUUUGAACUUUGAACAAUUACUCCAGCACAUUGUUUGUUGAAAAAUAAAAAUUAAAAACUUAAUACAGCACAUUGGCAUCCAUAUUCUCAAAAACUUGAAAGCGCAAACAAGGGACGAGCCCAGCAAGCCAGAUCCAACUUUCCUCAUCUCUAUCUCUAGGGUCAAAUUUUCAAACUUUUACCAAAUUGGCUCCAGCUUUUCUCAUCUCCAUCACUAUAUAUAAAGCGAGGAGAAGGGUCAAAUUUUCGUACCUUUACCCAAUUGUCCAUAGUUAGAAUGGGGUGGAAGGAGCGUAAAAUGCAGAAAAGAUGGAGAGAAAAAGAAAGGACGCUUCUGGAUUGUGCCGUUGCGAGUGGUAGAGAGACGGAGAGAGUGAGGGUGUUGCUUCUUCUGGAUUCUGCCCAGGUCAUCAAGGACAAGAAAGGUAUUGCUUCUUUUUCUCAUCUGGGUAUUGCUUGCUUUUCUGGGUUCGUGGUUAUUUGUGGUUGCAUGUUCGUUUUGCAGGUGAGACUUACCCUUGAGGAGCCUGAACCUGAAACCAAAGGCUUUGGAAAUUCAAUUUUGAAGGUCCUACAGUUCUGCAGUUUUCUAAGGUUGAAUUGCUCCCAAAAGGCUUGGAAAUCCGGUUUCUUUUCACACAAGGUCAGUUCAAUCCAUUACACAAAACCCAGAAGCGAAAAGUAUGAUAUUCUGUUGCCUGAUUCCAAAUUCUAACAAGACUGAUAAGGCUUCAAUGCUGGAUGAAGCAAUUGAGUAUUUGAAGCAGCUCCAGCUUCAAGUACAGGUUUUGUUCGGAAUCUAAUUGAGAGGAAACAACUAAUUGAUAUUGUUAGAUGCAUUUGCAUCUUCAAGUUAAUCAACAAGUUCCCUGCUGUACAACUUUUAAAAGAUCAUGUGCAUGAUGCAAGAAACUGCCAGUGAAAUUUGCAGGACUAAGUUAUCAUUUGGUGAAAGGGUUUGCGCUUAUUACUACUCUUCCUGUCAUGGAUUGGUUGCCAAGACCAUUUGCUCUUUUUUGUAAUGUUAAUGACUCCCAAAAGGCAAUCAAGUAGUGCUGCAUUUGAGUGUUGCAGAUGCAUAUCCACUGUUUUUGUAACCAAAAUGGAUCAACACCCACGGUUGCCAGGGCAGCCUUUUUUUUUUUUUUUUUGUAAUAAAUUUAGAUAUUUUUGCAACUUUUUUCAUCAAAACCAACCUAAUUAUGAUAUAUUAUGUUGGUUAGUUUGUAAUAGGUAAUAAGGGGAGAGGAGAUUCAUUAGCGCCUUAGCGGGUAGUUUUAGCUAUUUCCUUUAUCAAUGAUAUUAGAGUGUAAUUUUAUUAGCUUCAUGAUGACUUCAAGAUGACAGCAAAG